UGUGCCCAGAUGGGAUUAGCUAGUAGGUGGGGUAACGGCUCACCUAGGCGACGAUCCCUAGCUGGUCUGAGAGGAUGACCAGCCACACUGGAACUGAGACACGGCCAGACUCCUACGGGAGGCAGCAUG
rnacentral:rRNA from 1 species